rnacentral:misc_RNA from 1 species
UGUCGAUAUUGGCGGAGUUGGGACAGAAGGGUGGCAUUCUGAAAGUGGUCGCAAAAGUUGCAUUGCUUUGGGGUGGUAUACGAGGUGCUAUUAGUCUAACUGACAGGCUCAUCUCAUUUCUGCGCAUAGCUGAACGUCCUUUGUUCCAGAGGAUUCUUGCAUUUGUUUGUAUGGUGCUUGUUUUAUGGUCACCAGUGUUUGUUCCAUUUCUCCCUACACUUGUGCAAAGUUGGACAACAAAGAAGCCAUCCAGGACUGCUGAGAUUAUUUGUAUUAUUGGCCUCUACAUGUCUAUUUUCUUACUAGUUACUCUAUGGGGCAAAAGGAUACGUGGCUAUGAGAAACCGCUUGACCAGUAUGGACUAGAUAUGACUUCAAUGCAUAAGGUACAGAUUUUUCUGAAAGGUUUAUUUGGAGGAACCAUCCUUGUUUUGCUAAUAUAUUCUGUGAACUCCUUAAUUGGCUGUGUUGAUUUCCGUUUUCCCAUGGCUCCUCCAACCUCUUCAGCAGCUUUAACCUGGCUAAAGGUGUAUGGUCGGAUAUUUGUUUUAUUUGUUCAAGGAGUUGCAACGGCAACAAGUGUUGCCACUGUUGAGGAGCUUCUUUUCAGGUCAUGGUUGCCUGACGAAAUUGCUGCUGACCUG